CGCAAAUCAGAAUGUUGCGGUGAAUACGUUCCCGGGUCUUGUACACACCGCCCGUCACACCAUGGGAGUCGGAAAUGCCCGAAGUCUGUGACCCAACGAAAGAGGGAGCAGCCGAAGGCAGGUCUGAUAACUGGGGUGAAGUCGUAACAAGGUAAC
rnacentral:rRNA from 1 species